AGUGAUGAUGAUCUGCAGAGUGGCUGCGUCCACAUUCCGCAGGUGUACGUGUGUCUGUUUGCUCUCGCUCAGCCCGCUCAUGAACAUUGCUCUGAGGAGAAACACAUAUUAAGACAAGGAUCAGCAGAAACCAGACAUGAGAGAAGUUAGAAGGGACAGUGAGUGCACCUUUUAGUCCUGCUUCUGAGUGCAGAGGUGAAGGAGACAUGGAGAUACACUCCCUAAGCAAAGCCAUUCCAGAAAGCAUCUGAUACAAAAGACAUUUUCCCAUCCCUAUUUCUCUGUCUUCUUCUAAGCUCCUUAACUCAGGGCAACUUGCAUUUUAGGAGGGAUCACUGACUAACUGAGUAUCAACUUGCUGUGCAGCUAUUUAAAAAUAA